UACGGGGGGGGCAAGCGUUUGUUCGGAAUUACUGGGCGUAAAGGGCUCGUAGGCGGCCAACUAAGUCCGACGUGAAAUCCCAAGGCUUAACCUUGGAACUGCGUCGGAUACUGGAUGGCUUGAAUUCGGGAGAGGGAUGCAGAAUUCCCGGUGUAGUGGUGAAAUGCGUAGAUAUCGGGAGGAACACCAGUGGCGAAGGCGACUACCUGGCCUGUUCUUGACGCUGAGGCGCGAAAGCUAGGGGAGCAAACGGG
rnacentral:rRNA from 1 species